rnacentral:lncRNA from 1 species
UCAACGCUUUAGUAGAACGUUUGUACCCAACCUUUGUUUUUUCUGUUAGUUUUAAACCAUCUGGUAUACCAACCAACAAGAGUAUAGCUGAAACUACUUCCACCAUACAUGAGACCAAUGAAUUGUCCAAUGCAGCUUCUAACACAUGAAAUAAAUACUCAGAGACUGUGAAAAGCGCUCUCCCCCUUCAGAUGUGCCCCAACCACCCAAACAGUUCUCGGACCGAGAUGUGGAAGAGUCUGCACAGAGUCCCCAUCCGUGCAAGACUCACAGCCAACAGUUUUCACAUGGAGGAGCGCUCACCUUUGGUUGGAGCUCUCGUACUACUCUGAACGUUAGAUGUGGCCUGUCUCUUCCUCUAAGCAUGGGCUUCAUGGUGUGAGGCCCACAUCAACAGCUUUUUUUUUUCUUACGCCGUCCCUCGCUUUUAAUUGGCUGCGUCUCUCAGAGCCGUGCCUGACAAGCUUGUGUUCGUUUCAUCCAUGAGCUCCCAUGCCUCGCUGCUGGGUCAUGGCCUCUCCAAUGUAGUUCGUGACAUGAAAAUUACCCAACCUUGAUGGGGGCACGAAACCUGAUGUUGAUAGAUUGGAGCUCAGAGAUGGUACACUGGUGCCGCGGCCAGCAUCACCUUCGCUCGGC